AGUGAACGCUGGCGGUAGGCCUAACACAUGCAAGUCGAACGGCAGCACAGUAAGAGCUUGCUCUUACGGGUGGCGAGUGGCGGACGGGUGAGGAAUACAUCGGAAUCUACUUUUUCGUGGGGGAUAACGUAGGGAAACUUACGCUAAUACCGCAUACGACCUACGGGUGAAAGCAGGGGAUCUUCGGACCUUGCGCGAUUGGAUGAGCCGAUGUCGGAUUAGCUAGUUGGCGGGGUAAAGGCCCACCAAGGCGACGAUCCGUAGCUGGUCUGAGAGGAUGAUCAGCCACACUGGAACUGAGACACGGUCCAGACUCCUACGGGAGGCAGCAGUGGGGAAUAUUGGACAAUGGGCGCAAGCCUGAUCCAGCCAUACCGCGUGGGUGAAGAAGGCCUUCGGGUUGUAAAGCCCUUUUGUUGGGAAAGAAAAGCAGCAGGUUAAUACCCCGCUGUUCUGACGGUACCCAAAGAAUAAGUACCGGCUAACUUCGUG
rnacentral:rRNA from 1 species